AAUGCAUUUUCAGGCCGAGUUGAGCAUGUUUUUUGACUUGGAAUGUAUCUUCAUAGGAAUGAGUUGUGUGAUCAAAUUAAUGGUGAUUUAGGCUUCAGGGGGUCAUCCUGAACAAAAUACAUGUUGAAGUGUGUGCAUAAGUCCUUUGGUUUAGGCGUGACACUCAAUUUGAGUUUUUAUUGCUUUAAAUGCAUUUUCAGGCCGAGUUGAGCACGUUUUUUGAGUUUGAAUGUAUCUUCAUAGGAAUGAGUUGUGUGAUCAAAUUAAUGGUGAUUUAGGCUUCAGGGGGUCAUCCUGAACAAAAUACAUGUUGAAGUGUGUGCAUAAGUCCUUUGGUUUAGGCGUGACACUCAAUUUGAGUUUUUAUUGCUUUAAAUGCAUUUUCAGGCCGAGUUGAGCACGUUUUUUGAGUUUGAAUGUAUCUUCAUAGGAAUGAGUUGUGUGAUCAAAUUAAUGGUGAUUUAGGCUUCAGGGGGUCAUCCUGAACAAAAUACAUGUUGAAGUGUGUGCAUAAGUCCUUUGGUUUAGGCGUGACACUCAAUUUGAGUUUUUAUUGCUUUAAAUGCAUUUUCAGGCCGAGUUGAGCACGUUUUUUGAGUUUGAAUGUAUCUUCAUAGGAAUGAGUUGUGUGAUCAAAUUAAUGGUGAUUUAGGCUUCAGGGGGUCAUCCUGAACAAAAUACAUGUUGAAGUGUGUGCAUAAGUCCUUUGGUUUAGGCGUGACACUCAAUUUGAGUUUUUAUUGCUUUAAAUGCAUUUUCAGGCCGAGUUGAGCACGUUUUUUGAGUUUGAAUGUAUCUUCAUAGGAAUGAGUUGUGUGAUCAAAUUAAUGGUGAUUUAGGCUUCAGGGGGUCAUCCUGAACAAAAUACAUGUUGAAGUGUGUGCAUAAGUCCUUUGGUUUAGGCGUGACACUCAAUUUGAGUUUUUAUUGCUUUAAAUGCAUUUUCAGGCCGAGUUGAGCACGUUUUUUGACUUGGAAUGUAUCUUCAUAGGAAUGAGUUGUGUAGUCAAAUUAAUGCUCAUUUAGGCUUCAGGAGGUAAACCUGAACUAAAUACAUGUUGAAAUGUGUG